UUCAUUCAAGCUCAAGGUAUCUCUACCAUACUUCAGAGUCUCCUUGAGUUGAUCAUACCUCUCAGAUAGUGAGCUCAAAAACAGGAUUGCUUGAACCUCUUCUGUAACUUCCACUCCUAUGUUGUUCAGGAUCAAUACUUGGAGACAACCCAGAACCUCCACUUGUGCCCGUUUGAGAGUCUUGUUGAGCUGUUGUAGCUUCUGCUUCUGCACUAGGUGGGUGUUUUAGCAGCUGUUCAUCAUUCAAGAACUCUUUCAGCCCUAGGAAACCAAAGUGAGCCAAUAUUCUGACCUUCCACAAGGAGAAGUCACCUGUUCCAUCAAACCUGUCCACCUCAACCCGAGUGUUGCUCAUUUUAUUUUGCACAAGAAGAACAAGGAUCAACAACACAACAAGGAGGAA